rnacentral:lncRNA from 12 species
GGGGAGGGAAGGGGGGACCCCAAGGCUGUCCUGAAACUACAGGCCUGUGCACCUGGCGGGGGCGCCCUGUGACCCCAGACUCGGGACAGCACUUUUCCUUUUUUUUCCUUUUUUUUCUUUCUUUUUUUGUUUUGUUUGGUUUUGUUUUUCUUUUUUUUUUCUUUUUGUUUUUCUUUUUUUGUUUUUUUGUUUUGUUUUGUUUUGUUUUUGUUUCUGAGCAAGGUGUGUUUUCAUUCUCCCACGCGCUGAGCUGAAUUCAAUACAACUUGUCAUCUCUCUCUCUCUCUCUCUCUCUCUCUCUCUCUCUCUCUCUCUCUCGGCUUCCUUUCCCAAGCCCGCCUUUCCGCCCGGCGCGCCCCAGACGCAGGUGAGCGCUCUCAGGCAAGGGACAAGCGUCUCCAGAUCAAGAUCUGCCAGCAGCACCGCCUCUGCUUUAUCUCGGGGGGGCCAUCGCAGCUUCCUGCCUUUCCACCCACUCUCUGCAGUGGCGGGGGGGUCGUUUUUAGGGGGAAGUGCAUAAAAUCCUCCCUUGUUUGUCUGAAUCUGGGAGAUGUGGGUGGGGAAUGGAAGCCAGUGAUGGGCCAGGACCUUCUUCACCCUGGCAAACACCAGUUGGAGAGAAAGGGCUGAGGACACCUGUAUCGCGUGUGGGAAGCACCAGACAAGAACCCCCAGGAGCACCCUGCCACUCUUCCAGGCACAGGACCAAAGGUGUGGCUGUGUGGAUGGUCUCCUCUGAGCGUCUGCAGGAAGAUGCGUGGUCGUUGUGGGACAUCGGGCUACCCCGAGGAGCACCUGCGGGGCUUUGCCUGCACCUCUGUUCAGCAAGUGUUACUGUACCUUCAGGCCACCUCGGUCUAGAUGGUGAGCAAGCUGAGGGUAUAGACGCCCCCCUCCCCGCUCUGCCCCUCUCCCCACCCUGCCGCCUCACCAGAGAUCAGCAGUUUGGUUGA